CUCUACUGAUAAAACUGAAAAUUAAAAACUGUAGCCAAACAUCCCUUAUAUAUUUCGUACAUGCCACAAAUGCAUUAGUAAUUUAAUUGAAAUUUAAAAUAAAGAAUUUAAAUUUAUAACGUUGUAAUCCGCUCCCCACUCACUUUGAACUUCCACUAGUAACCCCUGCAGCUCGAACCUUCCAACCGCUGCUCCACCGUCGCGCCGCUGCCGAGUACUGUUUCUUUCUCUACCCAACCAAAACUGGGCAUCUCGCAAGUUGCUCGAGAGGCGGAUACUGCUUGUUCAAUCAAUUUACUAUUCCCCGUCUCAGAUUCGUAUUAAUGAGAGAAUCGAACUCGGGACCUCUCGCACCCAAAGCGAGAAUCAUGCCACUAGACCAAAUGCCCUGUUAUUUACUAUGCUCUUAUUCAAACUCUUUGACCUUGAAAUAAUCCAUCAUCAGGAACACGUCCGAGAUUGGUUCAUGAUGCUACUCAGAGUUUCUUUAAGGAUGAUGUGAGGACUACAGAUGAUCGAACUCGUGACAUAUUUUCGCUCAAGUAACGGGACUGCAUUCGAGUCUAAACCACUUUUUUUUUCUUAUUGUUUGUGUUUACAUUUUUAAUUUAGUAGCCCAUUUGUAGUUUUCUAUGUCAACUCACAGAUUCGGAGAUUGUGUUUGAUGAAGAUCUUACAGAGUUUAGUUUUCUCAUGACAUCUUGUUAGUAGACUCGGUCAUGUUUAGACAAACAAAUUUCAUGUGAACAUGCUUUUCGUGGAUCACUCAUUUGCACAAAAAAUAUACAUUUUUCAUGUUCUAUAGACAAACUACUUUUUGUUUUC